GAGGUUGUGGCUCUGCGGUAGAGCGCUCGCCUAGCAUGUGUGAGGCCUUGGGUUCCAUCCUCAGCACCACA
rnacentral:tRNA from 1 species